UGGGGAAUUUUGGACAAUGGGCGAAAGCCUGAUCCAGCAAUGCCGCGUGUGUGAAGAAGGCCUUCGGGUUGUAAAGCACUUUUGUCCGGAAAGAAAUCCUUGGCUCUAAUACAGUCGGGGGAUGACGGUACCGGAAGAAUAAGCACCGGCUAACUACGUGCCAGCAGCCGCGGUAAUACGUAGGGUGCAAGCGUUAAUCGGAAUUACUGGGCGUAAAGCGUGCGCAGGCGGUUUGCUAAGACCGAUGUGAAAUCCCCGGGCUCAACCUGGGAACCGCAUUGGUGACUGGCAGGCUAGAGUAUGGCAGAGGGGGGUAGAAUUCCACGUGUAGCAGUGAAAUGCGUAGAGAUGUGGAGGAAUACCGAUGGCGAAGGCAGCCCCCUGGGCCAAUACUGACGCUCAUGCACGAAAGCGUGGGGAGCAAACAGGAUUAGAUACCCUGGUAGUCCACGCCCUAAACGAUGUCAACUAGUUGUUGGGGAUUUCAUUUCCUUAGUAACGUAGCUAACCGCGUGAAGUUGACCGCCU
rnacentral:rRNA from 1 species